rnacentral:rRNA from 1 species
CCCUUAGAUGUCCUGGGCCGCACGCGCGUUACACUGAUGCAUUCAACGAGCUUAUAACCUUGGCCGAGAGGCCUGGGCAAUCUUGUUAACGUGCAUCGUGAUAGGGAUAGAUUAUUGAAAUUAUUAAUCUUGAACGAGGAAUUCCUAGUAAACGCAGAUCAUCAAUCUGCAUUGACUACGUCCCUGCCCUUUGUACACACCGCCCGUCGCACCUACCGAUUGGAUGGUCCGGUGAAGCCUCGGGAUUGUGGUUCUUGCCGCUUUAUUGUGGCGUGACCGCGAGAACUUGUCUAAACCUUAUCAUUUAGAGGAAGGUGAAGUCGUAACA